rnacentral:rRNA from 1 species
GCCAGACUCCUACGGGAGGCAGCAGUCGGGAAUAUUGCGCAAUGGAGGAAACUCUGACGCAGUGACGCCGCGUGCAGGAAGAAGGUUUUCGGAUUGUAAACUGCUUUAGACAGGGAAGAAAAAAGACAGUACCUGUAGAAUAAGCUCCGGCUAACUACGUGCCAGCAGCCGCGGUAAUACGUAGGGAGCAAGCGUUAUCCGGAUUUACUGGGUGUAAAGGGCGUGUAGGCGGGGACGCAAGUCAGAUGUGAAAACCACGGGCUCAGCCUGUGGCCUGCAUUUGAAACUGUUUUUCUUGAGUACUGGAGAGGCAGACGGAAUUCCUAGUGUAGCGGUGAAAUGCGUAGAUAUUAGGAGGAACACCAGUGGCGAAGGCGGUCUGCUGGACAGCAACUGACGCUGAGGCGCGAAAGCGUGGGGAGCAAACAGGAUUAGAUACCCGGGUAUA